rnacentral:rRNA from 1 species
GUCUAUGUACAAACAGAUUCAAUGUGAAACCGCAUAAGGCUCAGUAUAGCAGCUAUAAUUUACAAGAUCAUUUAACUAGUUACUUGGAUAACUGUGGAAAAUCUAGAGCUAAUACAUGCAAAAUGCAGGAACUUCGCGGAACCUGUGCAAUUAUUAGUCAAACCAAUCGUCCUCCGUGACGCUGGAGUUGAAAUCUGGAUAAUUCUGCUGAUCGUAUGGUCUCGCACCGACGACAGAUCUGGUUACGUCAUCAACUUCACGCACGAA